GCUUUUGAUUUCUUCUUAAUCACACCGAACCGGUAACGAUCAAAACGUGGAAAACGAUUGACAAUUUAAACCUUAGUUUGGGGCACAAUUCGCUUGCUUAAAAUCGAUAUAGUCCGAUUAAUAGCAAUCGAUAAACGGAUACAGUGGUUGCAGUGGGUCGAACGACAUUUUAGCCCCCUACAUUUUCUCCUUUGCACUCUUAUUAGCUGAGAAACGGGUGUCUGAACUCGACUACAGCAUACGCUCCUUUUUUAUUUAAUUAUUUUGAUUUAAAAUAUGCAUUUUUUCGGACUGCCCCUGGCAUUUCAUUUCAUUUCAUUUAAUGAAACUGGGUUCUACUUCUUGUUCUUAGUUUAACUCUCUUUUAAUAUUCGCCUGAUGUAACACUGUGUGAUGACCGUUUUUCAAAGGUGAGGAAGCAGAGCGUGCCCAAAACACAAGUUUUCUAGCUAUUCAAGUUCCCGACGACAGACGAAGUGACUAAAUCGUGUGGACAUACUUUGGAUCAGGAAUUUAUAUUAUUUACAGUGUCGAAAACGAUACUAAAUGCUUGUUACGUACUUUACAUCGAAUCUAAUAAACCCUUUUAGUGUGCGAGUAA